rnacentral:rRNA from 1 species
UACGAAGGGGGCUAGCGUUGCUCGGAAUUACUGGGCGUAAAGGGCGCGUAGGCGGAUAUUUAAGUCGGGGGUGAAAGCCCAGGGCUCAACCCUGGAAUUGCCUUCGAUACUGGAUAUCUUGAGUUCGGGAGAGGUGAGUGGAAUGCCGAGUGUAGAGGUGAAAUUCGUAGAUAUUCGGCGGAACACCAGUGGCGAAGGCGACUCACUGGAUCGGUACUGACGCUGAGGUGCGAAAGCGUGGGGAGCAAACAGGG